UUAAGCGACUAAGCGUACACGGUGGAUGCCCUGGCAGUCAGAGGCGAUGAAGGACGUGCUAAUCUGCGAAAAGCGUCGGUAAGGUGAUAUGAACCGUUAUAACCGGCGAUGUCCGAAUGGGGAAACCCAGUGCAAUUCGUUGCACUAUCGUUAACUGAAUACAUAGGUUAACGAGGCGAACCGGGGGAACUGAAACAUCUAAGUACCCCGAGGAAAAGAAAUCAACCGAGAUUCCCCCAGUAGCGGCGAGCGAACGGGGAGCAGCCCAGAGUCUGAAUCAGCUUGUGUGUUAGUGGAACGGUCUGGAAAGUCCGACGGUACAGGGUGAUAGUCCCGUACACCAAAAUGCACAGGCUGUGAACUCGAAGAGUAGGGCGGGACACGUGGUAUCCUGUCUGAAUAUGGGGGGACCAUCCUCCAAGGCUAAAUACUCCUGACUGACCGAUAGUGAACCAGUACCGUGAGGGAAAGGCGAAAAGAACCCCGGCGAGGGGAGUGAAAAAGAACCUGAAACCGUGUACGUACAAGCAGUGGGAGCACCUUCGGGUGUGACUGCGUACCUUUUGUAUAAUGGGUCAGCGACUUAUAUUCUGUAGCAAGGUUAACCGUAUAGGGGAGCCGCAGGGAAACCGAGUCUUAACUGGGCGUUAAGUUGCAGGGUAUAGACCCGAAACCCGGUGAUCUAGCCAUGGGCAGGUUGAAGGUUGGGUAACACUAACUGGAGGACCGAACCGACUAAUGUUGAAAAAUUAGCGGAUGACUUGUGGCUGGGGGUGAAAGGCCAAUCAAACCGGGAGAUAGCUGGUUCUCCCCGAAAGCUAUUUAGGUAGCGCCUCGUGAACUCAUCUUCGGGGGUAGAGCACUGUUUCGGCUAGGGGGUCAUCCCGACUUACCAACCCGAUGCAAACUACGAAUACCGAAGAAUGUUAUCACGGGAGACACACGGCGGGUGCUAACGUCCGUCGUGAAGAGGGAAACAACCCAGACCGCCAGCUAAGGUCCCAAAGUCAUGGUUAAGUGGGAAACGAUGUGGGAAGGCACAGACAGCCAGGAUGUUGGCUUAGAAGCAGCCAUCAUUUAAAGAAAGCGUAAUAGCUCACUGGUCGAGUCGGCCUGCGCGGAAGAUGUAACGGGGCUAAACCAUGCACCGAAGCUGCGGCAGCGACACUAUGUGUUGUUGGGUAGGGGAGCGUUCUGUAAGCCUGCGAAGGUGUGCUGUGAGGCAUGCUGGAGGUAUCAGAAGUGCGAAUGCUGACAUAAGUAACGAUAAAGCGGGUGAAAAGCCCGCUCGCCGGAAGACCAAGGGUUCCUGUCCAACGUUAAUCGGGGCAGGGUGAGUCGACCCCUAAGGCGAGGCCGAAAGGCGUAGUCGAUGGGAAACAGGUUAAUAUUCCUGUACUUGGUGUUACUGCGAAGGGGGGACGGAGAAGGCUAUGUUAGCCGGGCGACGGUUGUCCCGGUUUAAGCAUGUAGGCUGGUUGUCCAGGCAAAUCCGGAUAAUCAAGGCUGAGGUGUGAUGACGAGGCACUACGGUGCUGAAGUAACAAAUGCCCUGCUUCCAGGAAAAGCCUCUAAGCAUCAGGUAACAUCAAAUCGUACCCCAAACCGACACAGGUGGUCAGGUAGAGAAUACCAAGGCGCUUGAGAGAACUCGGGUGAAGGAACUAGGCAAAAUGGUGCCGUAACUUCGGGAGAAGGCACGCUGGUGUGUAGGUGAAGCCCCUGCGGGUGGAGCUGAGACCAGUCGAAGAUACCAGCUGGCUGCAACUGUUUAUUAAAAACACAGCACUGUGCAAACACGAAAGUGGACGUAUACGGUGUGACGCCUGCCCGGUGCCGGAAGGUUAAUUGAUGGGGUUAUCCGUAAGGAGAAGCUCUUGAUCGAAGCCCCGGUAAACGGCGGCCGUAACUAUAACGGUCCUAAGGUAGCGAAAUUCCUUGUCGGGUAAGUUCCGACCUGCACGAAUGGCGUAAUGAUGGCCAGGCUGUCUCCACCCGAGACUCAGUGAAAUUGAACUCGCUGUGAAGAUGCAGUGUACCCGCGGCAAGACGGAAAGACCCCGUGAACCUUUACUAUAGCUUGACACUGAACAUUGAGCCUUGAUGUGUAGGAUAGGUGGGAGGCUUUGAAGCGUGGACGCCAGUCUGCGUGGAGCCAACCUUGAAAUACCACCCUUUAAUGUUUGAUGUUCUAACGUUGGCCCCUGACCGGGGUUGCGGACAGUGUCUGGUGGGUAGUUUGACUGGGGCGGUCUCCUCCCAAAGCGUAACGGAGGAGCACGAAGGUUAGCUAAUCCUGGUCGG
rnacentral:rRNA from 1 species